rnacentral:rRNA from 1 species
GAUGAACGCUGGCGGCGUGCCUAAUACAUGCAAGUCGAGCGAAUGGAUUAAGAGCUUGCUCUUAUGAAGUUAGCGGCGGACGGGUGAGUGACACGUGGGUAACCUGCCCAUAAGACUGGGAUAACUCCGGGAAACCGGGGCUAAUACCGGAUAACAUUUUGAACCGCAUGGUUCGAAAUUGAAAGGCGGCUUCGGCUGUCACUUAUGGAUGGACCCGCGUCGCAUUAGCUAGUUGGUGAGGUAACGGCUCACCAAGGCAACGAUGCGUAGCCGACCAGAGAGGGGGAUCGGCCACACUGGGACUGAGACACGGCCCAAACGCCUACGGGCGGCAGCAGUGGGGAAUCUUGCGCAAGGGGCGCAAGCCUGACGCAGCCAUGCCGCGUGGAUGAUGAAGGCUUUCGGGUCGUAAAACUCUGUUGUUAGGGAAGAACAAGUGCUAGUUGAAUAAGCUGGCACCUUGACGGUACCUAACCAGAAAGCCACGGCUAACUACGUGCCAGCAGCCGCGGAAA